UAGGGAAUCUUCGGCAAUGGACGAAAGUCUGACCGAGCAACGCCGCGUGAGUGAAGAAGGUUUUCGGAUCGUAAAACUCUGUUGUUAGAGAAGAACAAGGACGUUAGUAACUGAACGUCCCCUGACGGUAUCUAACCAGAAAGCCACGGCUAACUACGUGCCAGCAGCCGCGGUAAUACGUAGGUGGCAAGCGUUGUCCGGAUUUAUUGGGCGUAAAGCGAGCGCAGGCGGUUUCUUAAGUCUGAUGUGAAAGCCCCCGGCUCAACCGGGGAGGGUCAUUGGAAACUGGGAGACUUGAGUGCAGAAGAGGAGAGUGGAAUUCCAUGUGUAGCGGUGAAAUGCGUAGAUAUAUGGAGGAACACCAGUGGCGAAGGCGGCUCUCUGGUCUGUAACUGACGCUGAGCCUCGAAAGCGUGGGGAGCAAACAGG
rnacentral:rRNA from 2 species